rnacentral:ncRNA from 1 species
UGUAAGACUGUGAAAAGGAUCAGUAAAUAAUGUUGUGUUUUGUAGAGAGCCGACGGUUGGUGCAAGUCGGUAUCACAAGUUAUUGAACUCGCCUUGGAGUCUGCAGUGGUGAAGUAAUAGUAACCGGUGCCGUUUUCCGCGUUAAGGAAACAAGUUGAGCAAUAUUUGUUGCUAAUUUGGGUGGUACCGCGGGAGUAUGCGUAUAACUCUCGUCCCUUAG